GAUGAACGCUGGCGGCGUGCCUAAUACAUGCAAGUCGAGCGAACAGACGAGGAGCUUGCUCCUCGGACGUUAGCGGCGGACGGGUGAGUAACACGUGGAUAACCUACCUAUAAGACUGGUAUAACUUCGGGAAACCGGAGCUAAUACCGGAUAAUAUAUUGAACCGCAUGGUUCAAUAGUGAAAUACGGUUUUUCUGUCACUUAUAGAUGGAUCCGCGCCGCAUUAGAUAGUUGGUAAGGUAACGGCUUACCAAGGCAACGAUGCGUAGACGACCUGAGAGGGUGAUCGGCCACACUGGAACUGAGACACGGUCAAGACUACUACGGGAGGCAGCAGUAGGGAAUCUUACGCAAUGGGCGAAAGCCUGACGGAGCAGCGCCGCGUGAGUGAUGAAGGUCUUCGGAUCGUAAAACUCUGUUAUUAGGGAAGAACAAAUGUGUAAGUAACUAUGCACGUCUUGACGGUACCUAAUCAGAAAGCCACGGCUAACUACGUG
rnacentral:rRNA from 1 species